AGGGAGAGGAGCAUGCGCAGUGUGUUAACUGGAGUUGUGCGCAUGCUUGCUUGAGGCAUUUUUUUUCUUAACCAGCGCGAUGUCCUUAGGAGGUCAUUCGCCGGUUAAACUCUGCCAUUAUGCCUCUUACUGGGCAUGCUCGAGCCCACGGGCCCAACUCCUGAGAUCCCAUUUGGAAGCUGCUGAUCACCAGUUUCAAGUGUUUCUGUUUAUUGGGAGACUGCCUUCCUCUGGCACUGGCAGUGACCAAUUAUUAUUUUAGAGAGACUGUUAACGGCCUGACCAUCACCUGACGAAUAUCAGGAAAGUGGCCUGACAUUCCUGGUACACGGAGCGCCUUCUUUUCGUUUAGAACAUUGGUGGCUCCACAUUAGAAGCAUCCUAUGUAGCUGUUCUGCUUGCAGCUGCCCAAGUCUGCCUGGGCCUCCUGCAUGAGGUCAUGAGUCUUAAUAAAGCCACUGACCCACACAUUUGGAAUCGUACUGACUUUUCACAACUAACAGCCAACACAUUGCCAAGAAGCAAUUCAAUUGUUGAGGAUAUCAUAUCAUGCCAGGGAAAGAGAGAUGGAAUUCAGAAAGCCUGGGAUAUUGCAGGUUUAUCCUGACAGUAGCCUCUCCUCAGGUCGGAAGACCUCUCAGGCUCUGUUUCUAGGGAGGCUGACCUGCUGACAAUGCUCCUAGCUGGAUUUUGUAAGUGGUCUUGAAUAAAGUCUUCCUCACUGUUUUAACAAGAGACAAGGUAAUGUUCAUUGAACAUCUUAUACAAAGAGGAAACCUGGCACAGAAGUGGACACGCACUCGGAGGGAAAAUGCCAAGUGAAAAUGAAGGCAGAGAUCAGGUGAUGCAUCUGCAAGCUGAGCAACAUCAGGAAUUGCCAAAAACCACCAGGAGCUGGAGAGGCCUGGGACAGAGCCUCCCGCGGAGCCUCAAGGGAGCCAGCCCUGCCCACGCCUUGAUCUUUGACGUCUGACCUCAAGAACUAUGAGAGAACCCAUUUCUGUUGGUGAAGGCUCCCCGUCUGUGGUCCCCUGUCCUGGCAGCCCUAGGAACCUGACCUCUGGUCCCUCUGCAUCCCUGGCAUCACUCUGCCUCCCUCUCUUUUUCUCCAGUGAAUCCGACACACUCUCAGUGAGACAGCCAGGUGGCAAGGGGUCCUCGGAGAAACUCCAGCCGGCCUGCUCGCUGGGCAUGUACACUGGAGUGGAGCCACAGAAGUUCACGGUGUUUGCAGCAGGGAGGAGCCUGGCCACUCCUCUUCCUGGUUGGAACCUGGAAUUUAUUUUGUGAGGCGGGAAGCCUAUACUGGGGAGACUCUUGCUCUGCUGAGUCCCCAUUCCCCCUUUAUUUUCCUUUUUGCCCAAUAAAUCCUAUUAUUCUCAGCCUUCGAAUU
rnacentral:lncRNA from 1 species